rnacentral:lncRNA from 1 species
AAAAAAUGUUCGAUCUACAGCACUGCAUGUCAAUCUGCGCUCAUAUCGAAGUUUUUCAAGGUCAAAAUUGCAACAACACACACCACAUACAUCCACAAGCUCAAAGUUGCUAGCAUGCAGUUAAAUCAGAUUCAAGAUAGAAUAAAGUGUCUGUAGCUAGCUAAGCUAUGUUAAAACUAAGUAAGUCAUUUAAAAUAUAUAGCAUGUAAAUUAAUUUUUUAGCCAAAUUAACAAGAGGUAAUACAACAUACAUAAGACGGAGAAACCAAGUAACAUUUACCUUCCAAAAUUAAAAAGAGAGUUGCCAUCAAACAUUUACCUUAACAAUAUCACCCACUGACAUCUAGAAAGAUAAUAUGAAUGUAUAUAUAGGUUGACAAAUUAAGUGCAACCCAAAAGGAAAUAAUAAAGAUAUAUAAAUGGAUGAAUAAUAUACAAUUUUCAGUAUGACAUGACUUUGCUUGGUAUCAUAACAUUACUACGUACGUACCCCAUUUCAAAUGAAACAAACACAAGAAUUAUGAUUUAUAGUUAUAGGAAUCAUGCAUGGUAAUCCCAAUUGAUGUGUUGCUUAGAUCAACCCUUUUACCACAUACGAAUUGAAAUUUAUCACAUGAUCUCUGUUUGAUUUCAGCAGUUGGGUCAUAUUUUCCAACAAUGUUUGCCACAUGAAACUGAAGUGAAAUUCUUCCACCAAGCAGCAAUAAAUAAAUAACACAUGCAGCUUCAUAAUAGUGAGUGAUACUCAAUACUCCAUCUUGGUGUAUCCCAUGUUUGUUAAGGACUUCCUUAUAAAAUUCCAAACAUCAAAAUGUUAAGAAAUUGCAAUAAUCAAUAUAAAGGCACACUCCAGGCAUCGAUUCUUCAAUCUGCUCAAGAGAAAACAUUCUUUUAAGAAUCAUUACAAGAAAAAUUGUCUCUUCAAGAUUACUUAUGGGCACAUCUGACCAUCAAUCUGAAAUGCCAAGCUUGUUUGAUUUGCCUUUACACCUAUGUGCAGCCAAUAGACAACAGACAAUAUCUCAAAUUGGCCCUAAAAAAUUUCAAAAGUUGUAAUUUGGUCC